rnacentral:rRNA from 1 species
AUGGACCUGGACGGCUUCCCACUUGACCACGAGUUUCCGGACGACUACGGGCAAGAGGAAGAGGACGAGUGCGACAUCGAAGUGGAGCCUUUGUUCGAGGACGAGCUCGCCAACCAAGCCGCCGGUCCGAAGCCGAAGCGCAAGAGCAAGCGCACGAAGGCAUACACGGCGGCCGAGGACAAGCUUCUUUGCGAGUUUUGGUGAGACAUUGGACAAGACCCCAAGACGGGCGCCGAACAAAAGCAUUCAACCUUUUGGAUUCGUGUCCACCGGGAGUUUCAUCAGCGCAAGAAGUUUCCGCCUUACGAAAUUGUGAGCACGUGCGGGUGGGUGUCCAUUUCGAAGAGAUGGAGGGUGAUCCAACAAGAGUGCAACAAGUUUUGUGCCACUCUUGAGAGCGUCAAGGCCCGCCCCGUGAGCGGCAUCGGCAUGCAAGACAUGGUAUGCUAG